UCAAGAAUCAGCAUUUGAAUCUCAACAAUGGUGACAAACAGCAUAUUCUGAUAAACAGAUCAAUUCUGAACAUCACAAAACAAGCUACUAAAAACUCACAUAAAAGAGCAAAAAUAAAAAAAUAGUAAGAAUAAAAGAAAUUACAAAGACAAUUCUGCUCAUAAUUUAUUAAUGCCGCAAUGCAUGAUGGGAGCCUUGAAUGAGUUUUUAUUGGCUACAACAUGCUUUUUUGAUGGUCACCAUUGUUGUGAUUAUCACGCUGAUUCUUGAUGUCUGUGUGUAUAAAUUAAAACUUAAGAUUUUGAUCAAAGUAAGUUUUAAAAACAUCUGUCUGAUUAUACUGAAAAUGUCAGCUCUUAUGUUGUUCUCUGUGUUGAUGUAACCAACAAAGAAAAUCUAACUCAAUUAUUCAGAUCAUUACGUGAUAGUCAUCAUAGCUUUUUCUGUGUGGAGAUGUGCUGAAAUCGCGUACCUUGUCAGUGUUGUGCUAAAAAGGAAAGUGUGUCCAGCUGAAGUCAAUUAGUGGUUUAUUAGACGGAUAUAAAAUAGCUUAGUUUACCGCGGCAGCGGUCGUGUGAAGGCCUCCUCUUGUGAAGACCGAAGAGUGUAAAGACCAUCGACUCCACCAGGCAGGGACUCCAGCAAAGGAUCAUACAGGAGAAGAAAAUAACACAUCUCCUCCUCACCCCCAUCCUGAGGAUCCUCAGGCAAAACCACUUGCAAGAAAAGCUGCUGUCCUGAGGGUCAUCAGUACAGCACAAAAGAUCAUCGGCUGCCCACUGCCCUCCCUGGAGGACUUAUUCAACUCUUGCUGCCUCAGAAGAGCAGCCAAAAAUUGAAAUGCCCUGGCCACAGCCAUUUUGACCUGCUGUCAUCUGAACAAGAACUGGACACUGACUUUCCCCUCGAUUGAAAUCAAUGACACCCCCCAAGAAUCAAGCCCUGAGAAGUUACAGUCCUGGCUAUAGUGAUUGACAGUUUCCGCCACCUGGAUUCAGCUGCACGUCUAUUUGUGGUAUUACGGUACGGAGACACGGAGCGGCCAAACAGCUGACGAAGACAUAUAUUUCAG